rnacentral:snRNA from 1 species
GUACUUGCUUCAGUAGCACAUACACUAAAAUUGGAACAAAACCAAGAAUAUUUGCAUGACCCCUGCUCACAGAUGACAUCAAAAUUCAUGAAGUAUUCCACAUUUA